rnacentral:misc_RNA from 1 species
AACGCACGAGACCUGCGGACCUGCGGAGGGAUCAUUAAUGAGAAACUGCCCCUCGCGGGUAGAUCUCCCACCCUUUGUAAACUUACCUUUGUUGCUUUGGCAGGCCCGUCUCCGGACCGCCGGCUUCGGCUGGCCAGUGCCUGCCAGAGGAUUCUAAAACUCUGUCUGCCAGUGUUGUCUGAGUCUAUAUACAAUCGUUAAAACUUUCAACAAUGGAUCUCUAGAUCGGAAGAGCACACG